rnacentral:rRNA from 1 species
CAGCACCACGGGAAUACGGAGGGCGCGAGCGUUACCCGGAUUUACUGGGCGUAAAGGGCGUGUAGGCGGCCUGGGGCGUCCCAUGUGAAAGGCCACGGCUCAACCGUGGAGGAGCGUGGGAUACGCUCAGGCUAGAGGGUGGGAGAGGGUGGUGGAAUUCCCGGAGUAGCGGUGAAAUGCGCAGAUACCGGGAGGAACGCCGAUGGCGAAGGCAGCCACCUGGUCCACUUCUGACGCUGAGGCGCGAAAGCGUGGGGAGCAAACCGGAUUAGAGACCCCUGUAGUCCCUGUCUCUUAUACC